CCCUUGUCUGCCUCCCAGUGAUGGCUACAGAGACUUUAUAAAUAGGAAGGGAUGGCCCUCCUAUGUCCUCCAGGCAGUCUGUGAUGACAAAUACUGCUUCUGGAAUGUGAGCUGCAAAAUGCCGGGUUCUGCACAUGACGCCAAUGCCCUCAAGCAGUCUGAUCUGUUCCGGAAUGCCCACCUCCUCCCAAAGAGAGCUGUGCAGAUCGAGGGGCAACACGUGGAUUUCUUCCUGCUUGGAGAUCCUGCGUACCUGCUAACGCCCUGGCUCAUGAAGGGC